GAAACGCGAUAGUUAAUGUGAAUUGCAGAAUUCAGUGAAUCAUCGAGUCUUUGAACGCACAUUGCGCCUUUUGGUAUUCCGAGAGGCACGCCUGUUCGAGCGUCAGUGAAAACCCUUCCGGGCCAGCUAUUGCAGCGCGGCCGCGGGACCCUGGCGAGGGGAUGUCCGACCGUCGCGCCUCCGGGCGCGGGCCAGGUCUCUCCCCCGCUUAAACUCGGAGAAAGCUAGCGGGCUUACCGGCCACGACCGCGAAGACUAGUAAAACUUACCCGUCAUCCGUGUCCACUGUGGAAGCCCCGCCUGAAAAACCCGACGGCACUUCCGGUGCCAUCCUGACUCUUGACCUCGAAUCAGACGAGGAUACCCGCUGAACUUAA
rnacentral:misc_RNA from 1 species